AAUGAGUUCCUGUGUAUGUCCAAAUGCAGCAUUUCACUUACUGGUUUCUACAUGAUUCACUUUUAUGCGCCUUUGCUCAGCUACAGCUGGGAGUUAAUCACUGGAUUUCAGUGCUUUUCUCAUCCAUCCAGCAAGAGGAGGAACAAACUGACCUAAAGAUAAG
rnacentral:lncRNA from 1 species